rnacentral:rRNA from 1 species
AGAUUGAACGCUGGCGGCAUGCCUAACACAUGCAAGUCGAACGGCAGCACAGCAGUAGCAAUACUGUGGGUGGCGAGUGGCGGACGGGUGAGUAAUGCAUCGGGAUCUACCUAAACGUGGGGGAUAACGUAGGGAAACUUACGCUAAUACCGCAUACGUCCUACGGGAGAAAGCGGGGAUCGCAAGACCUCGCGCGGUUAGACGAACCGAUGUUCGAUUAGCUAGUUGGUAGGUAAUGGCCUACCAAGGCGACGAUCGAUAGC